rnacentral:rRNA from 1 species
GAUGAACGCUGGCGGCGUGCCUAAUACAUGCAAGUCGAGCGAACGGACGAGAAGCUUGCUUUUCUGAUGUUAGCGGCGGACGGGUGAGUAACACGUGGAUAACCUACCUAUAAGACUGGGAUAACUUCGGGAAACCGGAGCUAAUACCGGAUAAUAUUUUGAACCGCAUGGUUCAAAAGUGAAAGACGGUCUUGCUGUCACUUAUAGAUGGAUCCGCGCUGCAUUAGCUAGUUGGUAAGGUAACGGCUUACCAAGGCAACGAUGCAUAGCCGACCUGAGAGGGUGAUCGGCCACACGGGAACUGAGACCCGGUCCAGCCCCCUACGGGAGGCAGCAGUAGGGAAUCUUCCGAAAUGGGCGAAAGCCUGACGGAGCAACGCCGGGGGAGUGAUGAAGUUCUUCGGAUCGUAAAACUUUUUUAUUAGGGAAGAACAGAUGUGUAAGUAACUGUGCACCUCUUGACGGUACCGAAUCAGAAAGCCACGGCUAACUCCGU